GUGGGGAAUCUUGCGCAAUGGGCGAAAGCCUGACGCAGCCAUGCCGCGUGGAUGAUGAAGGUCUUAGGAUUGUAAAAUCCUUUCACCGGUGAAGAUAAUGACUGUAGCCGGAGAAGAAGCCCCGGCUAACUUCGUGCCAGCAGCCGCGGUAAUACGAAGGGGGCUAGCGUUGCUCGGAUUUAUUGGGCGUAAAGGGCGCGUAGGCGGACAUUUAAGUCAGGGGUGAAAUCCCGGGGCUCAACCUCGGAACGGCCUUUGAUACUGGGUGUCUUGAGUAUGAGAGAGGUGUGUGGAACUCCGAGUGUAGAGGUGAAAUUCGUAGAUAUUCGGAAGAACACCAGUGGCGAAGGCGACACACUGGCUCAUUACUGACGCUGAGGCGCGAAAGCGUGGGGAGCAAACAGGAUUAGAUACCCGAGUAGUCC
rnacentral:rRNA from 1 species